rnacentral:rRNA from 1 species
AGUGAACGCUGGCGGCGGGCCUAAUACAUGCAAGUCGAGCGGCCGGACGGGGGCAACGCUGGUCGCACGCGGCGGACGGGUGAGGAAUUCGUCGGAAUCUGCCUUUUCGUGGGGGCUAACGUAAGUACAGGAAAGCUAAUAUCGUAUACGUCAUUCGGUAGAACGUGAGGGAUCGCAAGGCCUCACGCAGUAAGAUGUCCCCACGACAGAUUAGCUAGUUGGUGGGGUAACGGCCUACCAAGGCGACGAUCCGUAGCUGGUCUGAGAGGCUGAUCAGCCACACUGGAACUGAGACACGGCCCAGACUCCUACGGGAGGCAGCAGUAGGGAAUAUUGGACAAUGGGCGAAAGCCUGAUGCAGCCAUGCCGCGUGUGUGAUGAAGGUCUUCGGAUUGUAAAGCACUUUUAUUCGGGAAGAAAACCCGUGUGCUAAUACCUUCGCGGCUUGACGGUACCGAAAGAGUAAGCACCGGCUAACUACGUG